rnacentral:tRNA from 1 species
GGUGGUGUAGUGGGCAGUUACUUCGACUUGUAAUCGAGAGGUCGCGGGUUCGAGUCCCGCCGAUGCCU